UGCCGGAAUGAGUAGCGAGAGGAAGGUGAGAAUCCUUCCGGCCGAAUAUCUAAGGUUUCCAGAGUAAAGCUGAUCUGCUCUGGGUAAGUCGGGGCCUAAGGCCAGGUCGAAAGACGUAACCGAUGGACAACAGGUUGAAAUUCCUGUACCUUAAGUAAACAGAACUGUGGGGACACGUGUGGAGAGCACAAGCCGGAAAUGGAAAAGCCGGUGCAAGCGAGGUAGGAGAUGAACAGGCAAAUCCGUUCAUCAAUCCGAAGACGUGAUGCGGACCGAAUUAAGAGUAGGGAAGUGUGUGAGCCAUGCGUCAAGAAAAGCCGCUAUUGUUUUACUUAAGCCCGUACCGUAAACCGACACAGGUGGAUGAGGAGAGAAUCCUAAGGCCGACGGGAGAAGCAUUGUUAAGGAACUCGGCAAAAUGACUCCGUAACUUCGGGAGAAGGAGUGCCAGCGAGAGCUGGCCGCAGAGAAUUGGCCCAAGCAACUGUUUAGCAAAAACACAGGUCUAUGCAAAACCGUAAGGUGAAGUAUAUGGGCUGACGCCUGCCCGGUGCUGGAAGGUUAAGAGGAGAGGUUAGCGGCAACGCGAAGCUUUGAAUUUAAGCCCCAGUAAACGGCGGCCGUAACUAUAACGGUCCUAAGGUAGCGAAAUUCCUUGUCGGGUAAGUUCCGACCCGCACGAAAGGCGUAAUGAUUUGGGCACUGUCUCAACAAUGCACCCGGUGAAAUUGAAAUACCAGUGAAGAUGCUGGUUACCUGCGCCAGGACGGAAAGACCCCAUGGAGCUUUACUCCAGCUUGAUACUGGGAUUCGGUAUUGCAUGUACAGGAUAGGUGGGAGGCUAGGAAGUGAUAACGCCGGUUGUCACGGAGCCGCUGUUGGGAUACCACCCUUGCAGUAUUGGAUUUCUAACCAGCGACCAUGAACUGGUCGGGGGACAAUGUCAGGUGGGGAGUUUGACUGGGGCGGUCGCCUCCGAAAGGGUAUCGGAGGCGCUCAAAGGUUCCCUCAGAAUGGACGGAAACCAUUCGAAGAGUGCAAAGGCAGAAGGGAGCUUGACUGCGACACCGACGGGUGGAGCAGGUACGAAAGUAGGACUUAGUGAUCCGGUGGUAUAAAGUGGGAUUGCCAUCGCUCAACGGAUAAAAGCUACCCUGGGAUAACAGGCUUAUCACUCUCAAGAGUUCACAUCGACGGAGUGGUUUGGCACCUCGAUGUCGGCUCAUCGCAUCCUGGGGCUGAAGUAGGUCCCAAGGGUUGGGCUGUUCGCCCAUUAAAGCGGUACGCGAGCUGGGUUCAGAACGUCGUGAGACAGUUCGGUCCCUAUCCGGCGUGGGCGUAGGAUAUUUGAGAGGAGCUGUCCUUAGUACGAGAGGACCGGGAUGGACUGGCCGCUGGUGUAUCUGUUGCAUACCAAAUGCAUGGCAGAGUAGCCAAGCCGGGACGGGAUAAACGCUGAAGGCAUCUAAGCGUGAAGCCCCCCUCAAGAUGAGAUAUCCCUACGUAAGUAGUAAGACCCCUUGAAGACGACGAGGUAGAUAGGUCAGAGGUGGAAGUACAGUAAUGUAUGGAGCUGACUGAUACUAAUCGGUCGAGGGCAUGACCA
rnacentral:rRNA from 1 species